GGUACUUGGAGAUAGGUUAUCCGUGUUGCCUUCGCUUUAUCUGUGACGAAUCAUACACGGUUCACCUAUUUUUCAGUACC
rfam:Equus caballus chromosome 24, whole genome shotgun sequence.